UACGAAGGGGGCUAGCGUUGCUCGGAAUCACUGGGCGUAAAGCGCACGUAGGCGGAUCUUUAAGUCAGGGGUGAAAUCCUGGAGCUCAACUCCAGAACUGCCUUUGAUACUGGGGAUCUCGAGUCCGGGAGAGGUGAGUGGAACUGCGAGUGUAGAGGUGAAAUUCGUAGAUAUUCGCAAGAACACCAGUGGCGAAGGCGGCUCACUGGCCCGGUACUGACGCUGAGGCGCGAAAGCGUGGGGAGCAAACGGG
rnacentral:rRNA from 1 species